AACCCUAAAUCUGAAUCUUCCUCUCCAUCUCGUGUACUCCUUCUCUUCUCUUCAUCUAGCGUCCGAUUUGGUGUCUCCCUCCCCUAUUCAAGCAUCGAUUUUACAUCUUGAAGGAUACAACAAAAUGUAGGUCUCGUGGUGGUAGCACUUCAAACCGUGGUGCCAGAAGUGGUACAGGUCGUUAUGCUGGCCGUGGUUCUAGAUGGGGAACCUUUACCAAUAUUCACAUUGUUAAUAAGCUAUUAAACGGGGAGUCAUGAAAAAUGAAGGAUACUCAUUUGCAGAUAAAAGAUCAGUUGAUAAGGGCCAAAGCUUACUUGAGUUUUGCAGCUGAUAAGAUUACAGGAGGCUGAUGAAAAUCAAAGAGUGGUUUGAUAGUAUAAAAUAAGUUGAGUGGGAGUUUGAGGAAGAUAAUGAUGAAAUGCUUUUAGUUUUGGGGAACAACUAGAAGGAAUGAGAUAAAAGCUUUUUUGGAAUUUUUAGCGACUCAGGACUCUUCGACUAGCGGGUAUUCUUCUGGCUCGGUGAAGCUGAUCUUAAAGUGGACAUGCAUAAAUUUAUUAUACUUUAAACAUAUAAUAGAAAAUUUGACGUUUUCUUCAUUCCAGUUUUGGUUCCAUUUUACUAAUUUAUGUUGCAUUCUUCACAGUAGGGGUGUGCAAUAAUCGAACCGUUAACCGAAACCAAACCGAAAACCGACAAAACCGAACCGAAAUUAACCGUUGUUUCAGUUAAGUUCACAGUUAAUCGUUGUUUCAGGACGACCAGAAUGCUAUAAACUCACUUUUGGUCGUGCGAAGGGAAACAACUUCAGGCUUGAGUACCAGCCUUCUUAAUACCUCACCACCAAAAUGACUCGGUUCAAGGGAAAUGGUAAGCCAUCAAAGACAAAAGGGUAAAAUAAGCUCAGAUAUACAAAAGGAACAAAUUAACGACAAAAACCAGCAUAAAUACGAAGAAAGGAAGUUGACACACUAAACUGACCCUCCAAGCUUCACCCCAAGAAUAAAAGCAACAAACAAGAAGGCCAACACGGGACCGUGCCUGGCAGGCAUGGGCCGUGUCCCAGUCAACAUUCCUUAGAGAAUAAAGACAAACAGAAAAUGACAAGGGACACGGGGCCGUGUCACCUCAGCACGGGUCAUGGUCAACUCUCAGAUUUGCAUAUCUGGGUUCGUACAACAAGUACAGGGGCCACGGGCCCGUGCCGUUGACACACGGGGCCGUGUGUGAAAAAGAGCUAACAAGAGAAUUAAAGGAAGACAGAGAAGAUGAAGGACAUAGGGCCGUCGUGUGAAUCUCAUGUUUCCAACUACAAAUAGAGGUGCUUGGCUCACUUGCAAACCAUCCCUUGGCAAACUAUUUCUCUCACUUCCACCACUACAACACCAUCAUCCUCCACCACUUUAGUUAGAGUUAGAGUAGUCUCGGGAUCCAAGAUCGAUAGUAAGAGCUUUUGUCAAACUAUGGACAUGCUUGGCUAAUCUCUUACAUCACUUGGUAAAGACGAAAUCUUUUGUGUAUUACUUUUGAUUUCCAACCUUUAGUCACUUUUUAAUUGGGUAUACAUUAAUGACUUUA